rnacentral:rRNA from 1 species
CCGGGGUAAUACGGAAGGUCCAGGCGUUAUCCGGAUUUAUUGGGUUUAAAGGGAGCGUAGGCUGGAGAUUAAGUGUGUUGUGAAAUGUAGACGCUCAACGUCUGAAUUGCAGAGCAUACUGGUUUCCUUGAGUACGCACAACGUUGGCGGAAUUCGUCGUGUAGCAGUGAAAUGCUUAGAUAUGACGAAGAACUCCGAUUGCGAAGGCAGCUGACGGGAGCGCAACUGACGCUUAAGCUCGAAGGUGCGGGUAUCAAACAGG